rnacentral:rRNA from 1 species
CGGGUGAGUAUCGCGUAGGGAUUUGUCGUUGGGUGGGGGAUAACCGCGGGAAACUGCGGCUAAUACCGCAUGACGCCUGUGGGCCAAAGGUGUGCAAGCACUGCCUGACGAGGAGCCUGCGUCCGAUUAGCUAGUUGGUUGGGUAAUGGCUGACCAAGGCUGUGAUCGGUAGCUGGUCUGAGAGGACGGUCAGCCACACUGGGACUGAGACACGGCCCAG